rnacentral:ncRNA from 2 species
CUCGUUCAUCUCCAAGAAUUCGUCCCUUGGUCGACGAUGAGACGGAAGUAGGGGGUCCUGUACAGCUAUUGUCCCAUAGGUUGUAUUGGUCUGCCCGAAGGAACGCACU